AUCCAGUUGACGAGUCCCAAAAAGGACGAAUCGUGCAUCCUGGAU
rfam:Schistosoma haematobium scaffold570_2, whole genome shotgun sequence.